rnacentral:RNase_P_RNA from 1 species
UGUCGCGGGCAGACGAUGAGUCUGCGUGAGGAAAGUCGGGACAGCGCAGAGCACCAUACUUCCUAACGGGAAGGCGUCGGAGACGGCGACAGCAAGUGCCACAGAAAAUUACCGCCCUGAGUUUGUCGAAGGGUAAGGGUGAAAACGCGAGGUAAGAGCUCACGCAUUGCCGUGGUGACAUGGCAAUGAGGUAAACCUUAUGGGCUGCAAAACCAAAUAUACCGGCGGUUGAGGGCUGCUCGUCCGAGCCGGGAGGGUAGGUUGCUAAAUCCUUACGGUGACGUCAGGAUUAGAGAAAUGACAAUCAAAUACAGAAUCCCGCUUAUGCCUU